GGAGGCAUAGCUCAGUUGGUCAGAGCGUUCGGUUCACAUCCGAGAGGUCAUAGGUUCGAGCCCUAUUGUCUCCACCA
rnacentral:tRNA from 1 species